UUUAACACUUUGCAAAUAUGUAACGUGCCAGAGCUCACCACUUUAGAUCUGUUAGGUAUAUGGAAUGAUGGUUCCUAAAAGCAACGUUGGCAUGUUGCCUAUCCAUACCACCAGCUCAUGAAACAGACAACAAUAUAGAUUACAAAUAGAAAUUAUUUAUAACAAAAAAAAAAACUGAAUGUACACCGGCAAUACUAGACUUCAUGAAAAAUCACAAAGCGGAACAGUUCACAUCAACUUUGCAUCAGGUUGCUCAGGAGCGUCAAACUUGGGGUAUUUUUUUUUUUUUUUCGAUAUCCAAAA